rnacentral:hammerhead_ribozyme from 1 species
AUACAGCUGACGAGUCCCAAAUAGGACGAGAUGCGCGUCGUGGAU